rnacentral:rRNA from 1 species
AUCAAUAAGCGGAGGAAAAGAAAAUAACAAUGAUUCCCCUAGUAACUGCGAGUGAAGAGGGACAAGCUCAAAUUUUAAAUCUGUCGGGUUCUACCUGACCGAGUUGUAAUUUGAAGAGGCGUUUUCUGUGUUUCUGAUCAGUCCAAGUCCUUUGGGAUAAGGCAUCACGGAGGGUGAGAAUCCCGUUCGGUUGAUCAGAUUCGCUUUAUGAUACGUCAUCAAAGAGUCAAGUUGUUUGGGAUUGCAGCUUAAAAUGGGAGGUAAAUUUCUCCUAAGGCUAAAUAACGGCGAGAGACCGAUAGCGAACAAGUACCGUGAGGGAAAGAUGAAAAGAACUUUGAAAAGAGAGUUAAAUAGUACGUGAAAUUGUUGAAAGGGAAACGAUUGAAGCCAGUCGUACCUGCGGGUAAUCAGCCUUUUGGGCAUGAUUCUGUGGAGCGUGAGGAGUUAAACGCCUUCAUGCCUGCAUAUUCGUGUACUUUGGGUGUACUUGCCUGUGUGGUUAGUUAACAUCAAUUUUGGUUAUCAUAAAAUGGCUGGAGGAAUGUAGCUUCGAUUUCGAUUGAAGUGUUAUAGCCUUCGGCAGAUGUGAUGAUCGGGAUUGAGGAUUGCAACGGAUACCCUUCGGGGCUACCUGUCUGAUCUCUGAUCGUUGCUCUGGUGCCGAAAGCGUGCUUACGGUUAUCAAAGUCGAUGGUUAAUAGGUUAGAACAGGUUAAAUUCGUUAAGGAUGUUGACGUA